AUGGGCAGCCUGGGGCACCGCGUGGUGCUGUCCCGCACCAGCAAGUCGAGACAGGAGAAGACAUUCCGUCUGCCACCACUGCUGACAGUGGCACCUCGGACACCACCUCGCUCAGCGAGGGCAGACAUCAGGUGCCACCGGCUGCCACCUCUAACACCAGCAACCUCUGCAGCUUCUGGCAGUGUGACCAACUCGACCAUCAACAAUUCAAGCACUAACCCUCAGCAGCUUCUAACAGCCGCUGCCCACUGGCGCCGUGUCCCCAGUUACGGCAACAGAGGCACAUUUCUGAAGACCUGUCAGCCUGUUCUACGCAGGUCCAAGGUCUCUGCUCCCACAACAAAGAGCUCAGCGAGCACGAGCACAGAGCUGCGCAGGCGCAGCAUUGCCAGGCAGGGACCCUGCCAGCAGUCAACAGCUGCAGGGACACAACUGAGAAGAGACAGCUUCCUGGCAGCCAAGAGCAGCAAGGCCCCAGCCACUCAGCACAAAUUGAGGAGUGCUCAGCAAGUGGCAGAGCAUCUGCCAGCGAUGCCUGCAGCGGGCAGCAAGGGCAGCCUCAACAGCGAGUCGCUGGGGCUGCACCAGAAGGUAUCUCCCUGGUAUCUGCCCCUGCUGCCCUACAUCAAAACUUCAGGGCAGCCAAAGAGGAGCUGCCUGGCCAGAGCUCCUGAGAAGCAGCGGGCACCUCUCCCUCCUGUGGCACCGUCACAAGGUUCCCAUCGCUCUGGCAAGCAGACGGCAGCAGCCCCGGCACAGAGACAGGCACCUGCCCCACAGACCACCAAAGCAACAGACGCAACUCUGCAGGCCGCAGCCAUGAGCAAAGGGGGGAAGACAGCAGCCUUGCCAGCGGAGGAGGAGAGGCAGUGUGUUGAGGACAUCGAGAACAUGCUACCCCAAGUAAAAGUCUUGCAUUUACAAAACAUCUGCGUCAACCCCCUGGUCCCAGAGCUCUACCAAGACCCACGAGCGGAUAUCCAGGCUACACCCAGCAGCCAAAGCAGGGCAGGCACGGGUGAAGCAGGAGAGGAAAUCGGAGACCUGCAGAGCAUGUCUCCUGUCCCGGCCAGUCCCACGGACACCGAGGCAGCAGCUGUUACCCUGGCUGGAGCUGCUGAGGAAGAGCAGCACCGUGCAUCUGUCACUGCCGUUGCAGAAGUGGAGGAGGAAGCACCAGCACCAGCUUCCCCUGGCUUUCAAAUGCAGGAGGCUGUGGUAGAGGGACAGAGAAAUGCAUUUGACCUGCUCAGCCCCACAGCAACGCAGCUGGUUCUUCAGGAAAUAGCCGGGCGCCUCACGAGUGAUAUCCUGCACAAGGCUUUGGUUGUGAUUCAGAAAAGAGACGAGCAACGUCAAGAGCAUGAAGACAUGGCCCUAAGCCAUGUGGAGGUCUCAGUGGCAGCAGUGAGGCCUGCAACAGAUGAGGACAGCGAGACUCUUGUACGACCUGCUCAAAAGAUGCGCACACGUAUUGGGAAAGCUUUGCAGGUCUCAUCCAGGCGCAAAACGAAGACAGCACCUCAAAAGCAUCAGGGAGAAGCCAGCACAGCUGUUGCCUCCCCACCUUUGCACAGUGAUCAACUGGCAGUGUCUCCUAGAGCUGUUCAGGACACUGAGGAUGAGCCAGGUAUGUCCCUGAGUCAAGUGGCACCCAGACCAAGUCAGCAGCAGUGUGUGCCCCAGCAUCCCCUCCCUGUAUGA
rnacentral:lncRNA from 1 species